rnacentral:rRNA from 1 species
UACGUAGGGUGCGAGCGUUAAUCGGAAUUACUGGGCGUAAAGCGUGCGCAGGCGGUUUUGUAAGCCAGAUGUGAAAGCCCCGGGCUUAACCUGGGAAUGGCAUUUGGGACUGCAAGGCUUGAGUGCGGCAGAGGAGACUGGAAUUCCUGGUGUAGCAGUGAAAUGCGUAGAUAUCAGGAGGAAUACCGAUGGCGAAGGCAGGUCUCUGGGCUGACACUGACGCUGAGGAGCGAAAGCGUGGGGAGCGAACAGG